UACGUAGGGUGCAAGCGUUAAUCGGAAUUACUGGGCGUAAAGCGUGCGCAGGCGGUUUUGUAAGUCUGUCGUGAAAGCCCCGGGCUCAACCUGGGAAUUGCGAUGGAGACUGCAAGGCUUGAAUCUGGCAGAGGGGGGUAGAAUUCCACGUGUAGCAGUGAAAUGCGUAGAGAUGUGGAGGAACACCAAUGGCGAAGGCAGCCCCCUGGGUUAACACUGACGCUCAGGCACGAAAGCGUGGGGAGCAAACAGG
rnacentral:rRNA from 1 species